AUUGAACGCUGGCGGCAGGCCUAACACAUGCAAGUCGAACGAGUGGCGGACGGGUGAGUAAUGUCUGGGAAACUGCCCGAUGGAGGGGGAUAACUACUGGAAACGGUAGCUAAUACCGCAUACCAUCGGAUGUGCCCAGAUUGGAUUAGCUAGUGGGGGGGGUAACGGCUCACCUAGGCGACGAUCCCUAGCUGGUCUGAGAGGAUGACCAGCCAAACUGGAACGGAGACACGGUCCAGACUCCUACGGCAGGCAGCAGUGGGGAAUAUUGGGCAAUGGGAGCAAGCCUGAUGGAGCAAUGCCGCGGGAAUGAAGAAGGCCUUCGGAUUGUAAAGUACUUUUGUCGGGGAGGCGUUACUCACAGAGAAAGCACCGGCUAACUCCGUGCCAGCAGCCGCGGUAAUUC
rnacentral:rRNA from 1 species